AUGAACGCUAGCGACAGGCUUAACACAUGCAAGUCGAGGGGCAGCACAGGUAGCAAUACCGGGUGGCGACCGGCGCACGGGUGAGUAACGCGUAUGCAACUUACCUAUCAGAGGGGGAUAACCCGGCGAAAGUCGGACUAAUACCGCAUGAAGCAGGGGCCCCGCAUGGGGAUAUUGGCUAAAGAUUCAUCGCUGAUAGAUAGGCAUGCGUUCCAUUAGGCAGUUGGCGGGGUAACGGCCCACCAAACCGACGAUGGAUAGGGGUUCUGAGAGGAAGGUCCCCCACAUUGGUACUGAGACACGGACCAAACUCCUACGGGAGGCAGCAGUGAGGAAUAUUGGUCAAUGGCCGAGAGGCUGAACCAGCCAAGUCGCGUGAGGGAUGAAGGUUCUAUGGAUCGUAAACCUCUUUUAUAAGGGAAUAAAGUGCGGGACGUGUCCCGUUUUGUAUGUACCUUAUGAAUAAGGAUCGGCUAACUCCGUGCCAGCAGCCGCGGUAAUACGGAGGAUCCGAGCGUUAUCCGGAUUUAUUGGGUUUAAAGGGUGCGUAGGCGGCCUUUUAAGUCAGCGGUGAAAGUCUGUGGCUCAACCAUAGAAUUGCCGUUGAAACUGGGGGGCUUGAGUAUGUUUGAGGCAGGCGGAAUGCGUGGUGUAGCGGUGAAAUGCAUAGAUAUCACGCAGAACCCCGAUUGCGAAGGCAGCCUGCCAAGCCAUUACUGACGCUGAUGCACGAAAGCGUGGGGAUCAAACAGGAUUAGAUACCCUGGUAGUCCACGCAGUAAACGAUGAUCACUAGCUGUUUGCGAUACACUGUAAGCGGCACAGCGAAAGCGUUAAGUGAUCCACCUGGGGAGUACGCCGGCAACGGUGAAACUCAAAGGAAUUGACGGGGGCCCGCACAAGCGGAGGAACAUGUGGUUUAAUUCGAUGAUACGCGAGGAACCUUACCCGGGUUUGAACGCAUUCGGACCGAGGUGGAAACACCUUUUCUAGCAAUAGCCGUUUGCGAGGUGCUGCAUGGUUGUCGUCAGCUCGUGCCGUGAGGUGUCGGCUUAAGUGCCAUAACGAGCGCAACCCUUGCCACUAGUUACUAACAGGUAAAGCUGAGGACUCUGGUGGGACUGCCAGCGUAAGCUGCGAGGAAGGCGGGGAUGACGUCAAAUCAGCACGGCCCUUACAUCCGGGGCGACACACGUGUUACAAUGGCGUGGACAAAGGGAAGCCACCUGGCGACAGGGAGCGAAUCCCCAAACCACGUCUCAGUUCGGAUCGGAGUCUGCAACCCGACUCCGUGAAGCUGGAUUCGCUAGUAAUCGCGCAUCAGCCAUGGCGCGGUGAAUACGUUCCCGGGCCUUGUACACACCGCCCGUCACACCAUGGGAGUUGGGAAUGCCCGAAGCCAGUGACCUAACCGAAAGGAAGGAGCUGUCGAAGGCAGGCUCGAUAACUGGGGUG
rnacentral:rRNA from 1 species